rnacentral:rRNA from 1 species
GAGCAUGUAGGCGGCUAUGUAAGUCGGUUGUGAAAGCCUUCCGCUUAACGGAAGAAUGGCGGUCGAAACUGCAUGGCUUGAGUGCGGGAGGGGAGAGUGGAACUUCUGGUGGAGCGGUGAAAUGCGUACAUAUCAGAAGGAACGCCGGCGGCGAAAGCGACUCUCUGGACCGUAACUGACGCUGAGUGUGCGAAAGCUAGGGGAGCAAACGGGAUUAAAUACCCCGGUAGUCCUAGCCGUAAACGAUGGGCACUAA